GUUACACGUAAUUUUAAACAUCCUCUUCCGCCAUUGAUUUGUCUAGGGCUAUGUAUAGUCUUUUUUUUUUCCGUUAUUACGUGACUUUGAAAUCCUUUUUGCUGCUGAUUUGUUGCAUCUGUUAAAAUCUUUCAAGGUAUGCAAGGUGUACUCGCUCAGUUUCGAUAGUGCCUCCUGUCUAUUAUGCGCAUUUAGCUGCUUCUCGAGCUCGAUAUUACAUCAAAUGUGAAACAUCAGACGGUGGGUCUUCGGGUGGUAGGAGUACAACAGGGAGUAGCAGGGAAGAAGUCCAGCCGCUUCCUCUGAUCAAAGAUAACGUGAAAGAUGUUAUGUUUUAUUGCUGAGAUUCCAACGUCCCAUUUUGUGUUCCCUC
rnacentral:misc_RNA from 1 species